rnacentral:rRNA from 1 species
UGAGGAAUAUUGGUCAAUGGGCGCAAGCCUGAACCAGCCAUCCCGCGUGAAGGAAGAAGGCGCUAUGCGUUGUAAACUUCUUUUCCAGGGGAAUAAAAUUUCGUACGAGUACGGGACUGAAGGUACCUUGGGAAUAAGCAUCGGCUAACUCCGUGCCAGCAGCCGCGGUAAUACGGAGGAUGCGAGCGUUAUCCGGAUUUAUUGGGUUUAAAGGGUGCGUAGGCGGAAAAAUAAGUCAGUGGUGAAAUCCUGCAGCUUAACUGUAGAAUUGCCGUUGAUACUGUUAUUCUUGAGUGUGGUCAAGGUAGGCGGAAUGUGUAAUGUAGCGGUGAAAUGCUUAGAUAUUACACAGAACACCGAUUGCGAAGGCGUCUCACCAGAACGGACCUGACGGCAAGGGACGAAAGCUAGGGGCACGAACC